rnacentral:tRNA from 2 species
AAAGCUUUAAGUUAAAAAAACUAAUAACCUUCAAAGUUAUAAAUAUAUAAAAUAUAUAAGCUUUA